AGAACGCUGCGGUUGCCUAACACAUGCAAGUCGAACGAAAUCUUCGGAUUUAGUGGCGGACGGGUGAGUAACGCGUGAGAAUCUGCCUUCAGGAUGGGGACAACAGUUGGAAACGACUGCUAAUACCCAAUAUGCCGAGAGGUAAAAAAUUUAUUGCCUGAAGAGGAGCUCGCGUCCGAUUAGCUAGUUGGUGGGGUAAGAGCUUACCAAGGCAGUGAUCGGUAGCUGGUCUGAGAGGAUGAGCAGCCACACUGGGACUGAGACACGGCCCAGACUCCUACGGGAGGCAGCAGUGGGGAAUUUUCCGCAAUGGGCGAAAGCCUGACGGAGCAAUACCGCGUGAGGGAGGAAGGCUUUUGGGUUGUAAACCUCUUUUCUCAAGGAAGAAGCAAGUGACGGUACUUGAGGAAUAAGCAUCGGCUAACUCCGUGCCAGCAGCCGCGGUAAU
rnacentral:rRNA from 1 species